rnacentral:rRNA from 1 species
AUGGUUUAUCCAGAUGAAGGCUAUGGCCCUACCUGGGACAGCGACGACGAGUACGACAACUUCAUACGCAAGAUGAACCCGCCAAGUAUCAUCAUCGACAACGAUUCGUUGGCGGACGCGACGAUUGUCAAGGUUGGCAGUGCAAACGAGUAUGGGAUUCUGCUGGAAGUGAUCCAAGUCCUCAUGGAUCUCAAUCUUGUGAUAAGCAAGGCAUACAUAACCUCAGAUGGGGGGUGGUUCAUGGAUGUUUUCAAUGUGACUGAUAAGGAAGGGCUGAAAUUGAAAGACAAGGCUGCUAUUGCGGAGAUUGAGGGCUACAUCCGGAAGUCCUUGGGCGCAGAUUCAAGAUACAUGCCUGCUAAACGGAGAUCGGUGGGUGUCGCCGCUUCAACCGACCACAAUGUCAUUGAGCUGACAGGGAGCGAUCGUCCAGGCCUGCUCUCUGAAGUCAGCGCGGUGCUUGCGAGCCUCAAAUGCAAUGUGGUCAGUGCUGAAAUUUGGACCCAUAACACCAGAGUUGCAGCCGUGAUGCGAGUCACUGAUGAGGACACCAUGCUAGCCGUCACCGAUACCGUGAGGCUUGAAAUGAUCAAGGAGCGACUAUCCUACCUUCUCCGAGGAAACAAUCUCUCGCGAGGAGCUGCCAUGGCAGAAGCAUCGGGGACUUCUGCCACACAUACCGACAGAAGGCUGCACCAGAUGAUGCUUAGUGACGGGGACUGUGAAGAGUUUCAUGGGCAUGUCCCAGCUCAACCUCAGAGGCCUAAGGUCACUGUUCGGAAUUGGAAAGACAAGGACUACUCGGUGGUGACCAUCAGGUGCAAGGACAGGCCGAAGCUUCUGUUCGAUACUGUUUGCACCUUGACAGACCUGCGCUAUGUUGUCUACCAUGCAAACAUUGACGCCAACAAUAAUCAGGCGUACCAGGAAUUCUAUGUAAGACAUGUGAAUGGAUCUCCAAUGAACACUGAAGCUGAAAGAUUGAGAGUCAUCCAGUGCCUUGAAAGUGCAAUUGAGCGCAGGGUAUCUGAGGGUGUGAAACUUGAGCUGUGUUCAAAUGACAAGGUCGGCCUCCUAUCUGAGGUCACGCGCAUCUUCCGGGAGAACAGCCUGACUGUCACAAGAGCAGAGGUGAGCACCAAGGGCAGGACAGCCGUCAACACAUUCUACGUCCGCAGUUCUGCGGGGGAGGUAGUUGACCAGAAGACCAUUGAUUCCAUCAGGGAAGCCAUAGGACAUAACAUUCAGGUGAAAGGCCACCCUGAGGCACCAGCACCUCAGAAGAAAGAGUCCCCGACAUGGUUCCUCUUCGCAAACUUAUUCCGGCCAAGGUCUCUCUCUAGUCUUGGCUUGUUUGUGCGUUAA